AUGUCGCCAGCGUUAUCCGGAUUUAUUUGUCGUAAAGCGCGUCUAUGUGUUUUGGUCAGUCUGAUGUGGAAAUGCGGGGCUCAACUCCGUAUUGCGUUGGAAACUGCCAAACUAGAGUACUGGAGAGGUGGGCGGAACUACAAGUGUAGAGGUGAAAUUCGUAGAUAUUUGUAGGAAUGCCGAUAGAGAAGUCAGCUCACUGGACAGAUACUGACACUGAAGCGCGAAAGCAUGGGGAGCAAA
rnacentral:rRNA from 1 species